rnacentral:lncRNA from 1 species
GAAGGCCAUCAACAUGUGGAACUGUGAUAGGAAAGAAGGUAAUAAGAUUUGGAUGAAGGUUGAGAUGAAGUAAAUUGUUGACUGUGUUUUUAGGAAUGAAGAAUGAGAUUUUGUGUCCCCUUUUGGCUAAUUUGUUGGAGAGGUGAAGAUAUGGGGUUAAGUGCCCCAUAGCAAACCAAGGAAACAUUGCUAUGUGCAAAGAAGAAGGUGAAUCCAUGGUUGAUUUGAUAUUGAAUGGAAUGAACCAGGGACACCUAUACAAAAUACAAACUUAUUAUAAACUGUUUUAGCAAUUUGAUGCAUAAUGUUCCAUAAAAAAUUUGAUAUAUAAUGAAAAUUUUGUUAGUUGCCUCCUCGAUCGGUGGAUCUGAGUAUUAUUGUAUUACUUUUUAUUAUGUUGAAUAAGAGACAUGUUGAUAUAAGACAGCUAUAUGAGUCUCACUCAUACUUAUCAAAUUUGUUAAUCAAACAAAUCCUGCCCCAAGAUUUUCUAGUUAUUUUAUGUCUAAUAUAUUGAUACCAUUUUGAUAUUCCACGAUUUUGGUCACCAUGUAUUUAAUUGUGUUCCUUUAAUAUUUUUCAAAUGCUAUGAUUUUGGCCUAUAUGUUAUUUUGAAUAACCUAAAAUUGUAUUGAUGCAUUAUGAAAAUUCUGUACAUAUGGAUCGCCAUAUGAGAAAGACAAAUAAUUCUACAAAACAUGACACAUUAUGCCUUAAGCAAUAUCUCAUAAUCAUAGUAGUUUCAUUUCAGGUUGUUCUACUACAAAUAAUAUCCUCACUCUACAAGAAACUAUUCACUCUAUAAUCCACAUGAACGGGACCAAGCUAUAUGAUUCUCAAAAUUGACCUUGAAAAAACUGGUGACCGAAUUGAAUAGAGUUUUGUCAUAGAAUCUCUUCAUCGUUUAGAAAUUCGUUACAAUAUCUCUUCAAUCUGUUGAAAUUCAUGCAUCAAUUUUUAAUGAAAUUGAGCAACUAUGACUGCUGAAAACUUAUGUCCUAGAUUUAAUCUUGAACCGAAAUCUAUCAUGCAUGUCAUUCGAGAUUGAGAACUUAUGUCCUAGAUUAACCUUGAGCAGAAAGCUAUCAUGCAUGUCGUUCGAGAUUGAUAUGAUGUAAAACCUUUUUGAGAUUUGGAGUAAGUUUUUCGGCUUAAGUACUCUUGCAUGGUUAGAAAAUCCAACAAAUUGGGCAGCAUUUUUUGGCCAUGAAACCCUAUUUUUAGAGUUACUGUUAAAAAAACUUAGUGAUAAUAUUGAAGCACGAAAGUUAGUUUGCUCAAUGAGAAGAGAAUAUGCAGAAUUUGAGUUGCCUAUAAACUGUUUGCUUAUUGUCUGACUUAAGUUUGUUAAGACAGCUACGGAUUAAACAUAGAACCAAGUUGAAUUUCUCCGAAUUCAACUAAACCCUGAAAUUGUUUUUCUUUUUUUAAAUUUUUUAUUUCAUCUUUUGGCUCAAAUACUUUCAAUACUUCAUUCUUAGUCUAGCUACAUCUCUAUGAAGCAUAAUACCCACCAAAAGCCUUAAAACUAAUUUUUGAAUUGAAUUGAAACUGAUAGAUCAUUCCUAUUUAUAAGCAAACUGAAACAGCAAGAUUCAUUAUUAUUGUAAAUGAGAAUCCUAGAGCAAAUCAUAAAGUUUUUGACAAAAACUAUCAACACAUGAUGAUUCUAAGUUGUUGCUAAUGAGGAAGUUUCUCAUUUUGUCAUGAUUUGCUCUCACUUCUCUUCCAACCUCAUUCUCAUUAUCCAUCACAAUCUUCACUGCUUUGCACACACUUUCUUUUGUAAACAACCCAUCUUCUUCACCUUUCUCGACUUCCACACCAACCUUGAACUUUGUACUCAUCACUCUUGCAUUCAUUAUAUGAUCAACACCUACAAGUGGCAACAAAACCAACUGGCACGUGUUAACAAGUCCCUCGGUUAUAGAAGCAGCUCCACAGUGUGUUAUGAAACAUCCAACAGAAGGGUGUUCCAAAAUCAAUUGUUGUUGAAUCCAACUUCCAUAAACAAUCCCUUUUCCUUUAACUCUUUCAUUGAAUCCUUCAGGCAAGGCUUCCUCAAUAGAGUCAAAUCCAUUAGGUGGCUUAAGUGCUGCAAGAAAUUUCAUUGAAUCCUUCAGGCAAGGCUUCCUCAAUAGAGUCAAAUCCAUUAGGUGGCUUAAGUGCUGCAAGAAAUGGAAAACCUGUUAACUCAAGACCAAGCAACAACUCUUGAAACUGAUUUUGUUCCAAUGGACCUUCACUUCCAUAUGCACAAAAAACCACAGAACCAUGUUUGAAUCCCUUAAGCCAUGCGGCCCAUUUUUGAUCUAAAGUAGUAUUUGGUGGGUCAGGUGAUAGAGGACCUGAAAGAAGAACAGGUUUACCAAAAACAGUUUGAAGAUAAUCAGUAUAUAAACCAUCGAUUUCUCUGCAACCUUUGAAAGCAACCGCAUCUGAAAACUCUGUGCCUAUGUCUACGCGAUCGUAUAUUAAAACACCGCUGCCAAAUUCUAUCCUCCUUGCUGAAACUAGGAAUUGAAGUUCGUGUGAAUGAAACUUGAUACAUGAAUCAGGGAACUCUGAAGGUGGUUUCAUGAGAUCAACUUCAGUUAACUCUUUUCCUCGACUUUUUCUCGUUAUAUUUCCAAGGUAAGCGGUUGAUAUUGGAUUCCAUAUCAAAUAUUGAAGACUUUUGAUACCAAGUUUUUGAGUCAAAUUUGGUAGCCAAUAUUGAAAAUCAAAGAAAACAAUAUGUGGUUUUAGUUCCUUUAGAAGAAGUUCAAUUUGUUCCUCAGUUUGGUCCAUGGCAGUAGCAAUAAGAGGGAAUAAAGAAACGGAAACAUCUGAAGUAGUUUCAGCAUUAUGAGGAAGGCCAUCAACAUGAGGAACUGUGAUAGGGAAAAAGGUAAUAAGAUUUGGAUAAAGGUUCAGAUGAAGUAACUUGUUGACUGUGUUUUUAGGAAUGAAGAAUGAGAUUUUGUGACCUUUAGUUGCUAAUUUGUUGGAGAGGCGGAGAUAUGGAGUUAAGUGUCCCAUAGCAAACCAUGGAAACAUUGCUAUGUGCAAAGGAG